AUUGAACGCUGGCGGAAUGCUUUACACAUGCAAGUCGAACGGCAGCACGGGAGCUUGCUCCUGGUGGCGAGUGGCGAACGGGUGAGUAAUGCGUCGGAACGUACCGAGUAAUGGGGGAUAACGCAGCGAAAGCUGUGCUAAUACCGCAUACGCCCUGAGGGGGAAAGUGGGGGAUCGCAAGACCUCACGUUAUUCGAGCGGCCGACGUCUGAUUAGCUAGUUGGUGGGUAAAAGGCCUACCAAGGCGACGAUCAGUAGCGGGUCUGAGAGGAUGAUCCGCCACACUGGAACUGAGACACGGUCCAGACUCCUACGGGAGGCAGCAGUGGGGAAUUUUGGACAAUGGGGGCAACCCUGAUCCAG
rnacentral:rRNA from 1 species